AUUAUCAAAAUCGGGGUUUUUUUUUGGUGUUAUUUUCUAAUUUAGCCUUAAUUUUAUUUCAAAAUCUGAUUUGGCAUUAGAGAAAGAUGAUGCGUAUACAAACUUACCAUAUACUCCCUCUGUCCCUUAUAUUUUGCCCCAUUUGCCAUUUACGGAAGUCCCUUAUUUUUUGCCCCAUUCUAUUUUGGGCCAUGGUCCCAUAUUGUAAACAGCUCCAAAUCACUCCAUUAACCUUGCUUAGCCCACUAAAACCCAAAUGCAUCAGCCUCUUUUCCUCCCCUGAUCUCCUCUUACCCACUCUCUCUCCUCAAUUGCUAAUGGCUCUCUCUCUUCCAUCACCACCUCUCUUCUUCCUCCGUUACAACCGAGGCUGCUUUUUCUCCCUACUUGCCAUUUAUUUUGUUCUCUGAAAACCCCAUCAAAACUGAAAUCCCCCUCUUCCAUUUCUGUUCUCUCUCUUUCGCUUUGUUUAUAAGAUUGAAAUCCCUCAAAACCUAGAUCUACGAUGCCGGAACACUGAGAUCCGACUGGCUACUUAAUCUAGGCUUCGUCUUUGUUUUUCAUUGUUAGAAAAGCUUUGAUUUUUUUUGUUUUGAAUAAUUUCUACCCAAACUUCGUAUAUUCUGUGGUGUUUAAUUUCCAGAUCUAAUUAGAUAUGAGCUUUAAUGGUAAGGGUGGGUUUAAUUCGGAGUUAAAUGACGAGGAUUAUGAUUUCUUGAAGCAUAGUCUUUUUGUAAACCAUACCCCUACCUUAAACCACUCCGAUGAUGACGAAGAGGAGUUUAUCCCCAACACCCCUGCAGCAACCGUCACUAGCUCGCCACCUCCAGCCCUAAUUCAGGUACCGGAGACACCUUUGUGCAUGCAGUCUGCCCAACCACUGAGCUUCACCAAAGGGGGUAGCAACUCAAUCCCUUAUAGAAGGCUGGGGGUGCUCAGAUCUAGGGUUUCAAAAAGGGCUAUCGACUUCGGUACUUCUGCUAUAGAGUUCGACGCUGAUGUAGUUGAGUCCCAAGGGCCGGAGAAUAACUUCUCCGGCCAAAAACUAGAAAAUGGAGGUGAAAUGCUUCCAACUUCUUUGUCCUCUUUAUUUCUGUGAUCCGAAAAAGUCCAGAUAAGCUAUUAAUUAGCCUAAGAUUUUAUAAACGGAGUAUUUGUGAUAGUCUAAAUCUGUUAGUAUUUGUGAAAUAGAAUAUUUGUGAUAGUUAGUCCAAAUCUCUUUAUUAGCCUAACUUUUUUAAAAAAAUUUGGCUAUUGACUUAAUUAUGACGGUGGACUAGUAUGUACUCUGAUUGUGUAAUGCUGUGAACUUGGUAUAUGUGUUUGCUUGGUACUGUGUGGUUAUUGUUGUUCUGUAUUGUUGAUUAAGUAGAUUUAUUAAUAGACAAAGAGACCUUAUGAUGAGUAUGUGCAUGAUCUACUAUGGGGGGGUGGAUUUCAGCUUAUGUGAUGCCACUCCAUCAUUUUUUUGAUGUUUGACGAGGCACGAUUAAGCAGUCACUGAAACACGUAGUUGUUGCCACUCCAUCUUGUAGGAUGUUUGAUGAGGCAAUGUGAUGCCACUCCAUCCUGUAGAUGUUUGAUGUGGCACAUAGUUGCAAUGUUGUUUCCAACCCCAUGAUGAUCACAACACUAUGACAUUUGUGAGUUGUGUAUUGUGUGUUCUUCUUCCUGUUUUGUGAACACAUACAUUACAGUAAUAAAUAAAGCUGAUAAAAUUUAUAAGUUGGUUCAUUUAUAAUUACAGAAUACAUUUGCACCUACUCCUUAUCAACUAUGGCUGAUUAAUAACUUGCAUAAUUCCAACCUUUUAAACUCCACAAAAGUACAUCCAAUCCCUAUAGACAUUAGACAAAAUGGGGCAAAAUACUAAUGACGAAGUAGUAAUGAUCAUAAGCAUUGUACGCUACCUAUUUCAACCAUCUACCAACAUUUGACUACUCUGCCAGGUUACUACAAAUUUGUACAACAAAAAAUUCUUGAUAUGUUUUCAUAAUUUGCAUUCUUUCUUAUGGAAUAACAUGCCAUUACCUGAGUUGCCUGAGUUGUAUCACCUCAUGGAAAUGCGCAUGUCCUGCAUCAUUCCUUCCAAUUCAUGAACUUGCAUAGACGUGUCCUCCACGAUUGAGAUAUAGCUUUCCCUUGGAAUGUGCUCUGUUUCUGCCUCUGCCCUUUCUUCUGUGUCCUGAACAGUGGUUGUCAAUCCAUGUAAUUACAUGUGUUGUUGUAGCAAAGAUGUCAUACUUUCUUUUAGCAACUGAAUUGGGACUUCUAUGUAAGUCGGCAAAUUUUCUGCUCUUUCCAUCCUUUCCUUUGCAUGAUGUGGUUGUAUAUAAUUAUUUGAACUAUGCACCAUCAUUAUCUCAAGCAUGCAAUAUUGUAGGCUAAGAAACACAUGAUUUACUUUACGAGGCUCAAAAAUUUCAUAAGCAUACUUGACAGCACUUACUAGCUCGUAUACAUCUCUAGGGGCUUGUUGGUGUUGAAUUGCAUUAAAGAACCCUAAGUCGAGAACAUUUAAGUCCGGACUGUUUGGGGGUUGUGCUAUAAGCUGUAUGUUGAAACCAUCUGUGUUUGCUGCGUUUUUGAAUUCAAUGUCAUGUAGUUGCAAAUGUGGUGUAGCAUUAUCUUGUUGAACCAAAUGGUUCCACAUGCAUCAAUUGGCCAUUUUGCCUUAAUCGAAGGAAGCAAUUGCUCAAUAAAUAACUUCCUUAUCACUGAUUGUGUAAUAUUCUUGAUUGGUUUUGUCUCCAAAGUGCCAGCCACUCUAUGUAUGCUAGAUCGCUUUGCUGGAAUAACUUCUGUCAGUGGGAAACAUCCUAACUUCCCAUCAAACAGACAUUCACCAUCUGGUCCAUGAACUGCUCUGGACAAUGCAACCUCAAACAUGACUUUGGUAUCGUACCUUUUGGACUUACAAUUCCGGUAAGGAUGCACUUCAUUUGCUGCCAAAUAAAAUGUUUGCGAGUUUUUUGUCAUAAAAAACCAUUGCUCAUCAAUGUGUACCACGUUAUACAUAUCUCCAAAUCAAGGGAUGGUAUUAAUUGUGCUUGGGAUUACUUGUUGCAUGCACCAUCGUAGCCUUUGUAUCUUAUUCACAGAUGUGAGUGUUGGUUUGAUUGCUUUACUAUGCCUCAAGAUCUUGCCUUUUUUUACAAACCUCCCAAUUGUUGACUUAUUUAUUUUCAUUAUUGAAGCUACUGACCUAAUGUUCCCCCUGUUUUUCAAAGGGACUUCCAUCAAUUGUUCAACAUUCAGUUGAAUUGGUUUUCUGCCAGCCUUUCCUUUUUUAUUCUUGCUGAUUUGGAUGCUUUGUUUCAAACGCACACUAAGCUUCACCUGCUUCCAUAUCCUUUGCAAAAUCCACCUACUAACACCAUGAAUGUGGGAAAGUUUAGUAAUUGUCCCCGGAAGUAGCUUGAGGUUUGUUGCUGCAUGUAGGAGGCUCUCUAUGCACAUCUUCCUUUCGACAUCUUUCAUGUCCCUCCUGCGUUCAUGUUGUUCAGUUGGUGCCUAAGUUGUUGCCUGGGUUGUUGCCUGAGUUGCUGCCUGAGUUGCUGCCUGAGUUGCUGCCUGAGUUGUUGUCGGAGUUGUUGCCAGAGUUGUUUCCUCGGUUGAUGCCGGAGUUGUUUCCUGAGAUGAUGUCUGAGUUGUUUCUAGAGAUGAUGCCUGAGAUGAUGCCUGAGUUGUUUCCUGAAUGUAGUCGUCACUGAGUUGUUGCCAAUGAAGCUAAGAAAAUCACUUGUUUCCAUUUCGAAAUUUGGCAUCAGUAAAAAGAGUCCCUUAAUUACUCGAUGAUGAUAAAACUGAGAGUGGUGGAAAAUAAAAGGAGGAAGAGAAACAACUGUGCCACUGCUCUUUAUACUGCCCUGCUUUUGGUUUAGGAGGGAAAAAUUUCCCUCCAAAAUUUUGGAAAUUUUGGAUAAAUUUCCUGUAAAAUAUCUACUCUUGUUUUUCUCUGUAAAUUUUGGAGUAUGAUGUAAAUUUGUACAGUGAACAAAAUUGAGUGGGAGCCAACUUUUACUCUUUAUUAAAAAGCCCACUUGUACUUUAUCUCUCUACAUUUUGUUAAUUAAUUCCAACCCAAAUGGCUUAGGGACCACAUCA